UUUUUGUUUGUAGGAAAAGCAGAAAGGCAAAAGAGAAGCUUGAUAAGUGUGUAAAAGACACUCUGUUGGACCCUUGGUAUUCCAACUCCGAAAGCAAACAUUAGAAAGGAAGAUACUGUGUCAAAGCUGUUGGACUUCAUUGCUGAACCUCACUCUGCAGCUGAAUCUUGGGGCUCUGAUGACCAGGGAUCAAAUUCUAAAAAACGCAAGAGAGGAGGUGAAAGUGCAAGUAAGACGCAUGAUGGCACACCUAGUAGGUCGAGGAAGGUACUGUGCUAAAAUUUUCUUGCAUGGUGUGUUGAAUAUGAGUAUAUAACUAAAAGUUCUGAACAUGACUUAAAGCUAUGGUGUAUCCUUCCUUGGUGGCUAUUU